UUUAGAUUCAGGUAGGUAGCCGUGUUGGUCUGACGCAGUCGAAAUAUAUACUAAGUUUAAGGUAUAAGCUUGGUAUAAUCUGAAGAAGUGUGCAUGCACACGAAAGAUUAUACCAAGAACAAACUUAGUUGGUCUCUAAGGUGCUACUGGACAAUUUUUAUUAUUAUUUUAUAUAUUUCGACAGCGUCAGACCAACACGGCUACCUACCUGAAUCUGAA
rnacentral:miRNA from 1 species